GCGACCAGGGUGCGGUUCUGCUUACAAAUCACUGCACCAGCUUCCAACUUUCACGAGUUCCUUGAAUCGGUGGAGAAAAGUGCAGACUAAGUACUGUAGGAAGGGCUUUGGUGAAACGGGCCACAUGGAGGAGCAAAAGAGAAUCCACACAAGUGAAGAACCCCAUAGCUGCCCAGUAUGUCAGAAUCCACAUGGGUUUACAACCCUGUAG